UGCUAGGAUCACCUUUUAAAAACCCACUUGUCAAGAUCUUUAUUAUGAUUUUCUCAUGACGAUCCCAUCAUUAAGAUCAUAUCAAUAAGAUCUCUUCAAUGAGAUCCCUUUAAUAAGAUUCCUUAAUUAAAAGUCCCUCAUUGAGGUUCCUUUGAUAACAUCCCUUUAUCAAGAUUUUCUUAUUAAGCUCCCAUUAUUAAGAUCUCCUCAUUAAGAUCUUCUUAUUAAGAUUCCUACAUUGAGUUCUUAUUUGAGAUUACCAUGCUAAGGAUCCUCUCACUGGAUUUCCUGCAUUAAGGAUCUUGUUCUAAGGUGGACUAAUAAACUCCUGGACACCAACUAAACCUGGGAAAAACGUCAUUAUCUCUUCAUUAUUCUAAAGACCAAAUGAUCAUCAUAGAAGUGGAAGCUCAGUGUUUCAAAUGCUGGAGUUCAAAUCCCAAAACCAGUGUUUGAAGUUUUCACUGUUCUGGUCUUUGAACAAGAGUCUUAACCCUCACCUGCUCAGAUAUUUGUAAGUUUCUGAUAAUAAUGCCAGAACAGCUGGUUAUUCCAGCUGUGGAUCAAUCUGUACUUCUUAAAGACGGCUGAUAUUUUUGCAGAUCUUCCAGCACUGAAGACACCGAACCGAAAGUACUGCAAUUACAGACACUAAUUCAUGUUUACAUUUUCUUCGUCAAACUUUAUUUUAAUACAUUUUAAUAAAUACAUCUGUACUUAUUAAAUGCAACACUUUCAGGGUGUUCUUUCACUGUUUACUCUCAAUCUUCACCUCUUUGAAUGGAGUUUUGUUUUGGUGCAGCAUACAACUUACUUUUGUAAAUCAAAUGCAUAUUUUGUCAUCUAUGGAUAAUUGGUGUUUUUCACCAUGACUUUAAAACACAUCUGAAAAAUCAUGUUUUAUUUUGUUACACUCGGUUUCAGUAAAGGAUGGAUGAAUAAAGCGCAAUGUCUGCAAAAUGCAAGUCUA